rnacentral:rRNA from 1 species
UACAGAGGGGGCAAGCGUUGUUCGGAAUUACUGGGCGUAAAGGGCGCGUAGGCGGCCUGUUAAGUCGGUUGUGAAAGCCCGGGGCUCAACCCCGGAACGGCAGCCGAGACUGGCGGGCUCGAGACCGGGAGAGGUGGGUGGAAUACCCAGUGUAGAGGUGAAAUUCGUAGAUAUUGGGUGGAACACCGGUGGCGAAAGCGGCUCACUGGCCCGGUUCUGACGCUGAGGCGCGAAAGCGUGGGGAGCAAACAGG